rnacentral:rRNA from 1 species
UACGGAGGGAGCUAGCGUUGUUCGGAAUUACUGGGCGUAAAGCGCACGUAGGCGGCUUUGUAAGUUAGAGGUGAAAGCCCGGGGCUCAACCCCGGAAUUGCCUUUAAGACUGCAUCGCUUGAAUCCGGGAGAGGUGAGUGGAAUUCCGAGUGUAGAGGUGAAAUUCGUAGAUAUUCGGAAGAACACCAGUGGCGAAGGCGGCUCACUGGACCGGCAUUGACGCUGAGGUGCGAAAGCUAGGGGAGCGAAUGGG